UACGGAGGGCGCAAGCGUUAAUCGGAAUCACUGGGCGUAAAGCGCGCGUAGGCUGUUUGGUAAGUCAGACGUGAAAUCCCUCGGCUCAACCGGGGAACUGCGUUUGAUACUGCCGAACUCGAGUCCUGGAGAGGGUGGCGGAAUUCCUGGUGUAGGAGUGAAAUCCGUAGAUAUCAGGAGGAACACCGGUGGCGAAGGCGGCCACCUGGACAGGUACUGACGCUGAGGCGCGAAAGCGUGGGGAGCAAACAGGAUUAGAUACC
rnacentral:rRNA from 1 species